GGGUGGUAAUGCCGGAUGUUCCACAUGAUCGCAUGUGAUUGUGGGAAAGAUUCUAUCGGCGUGGGAUGGGGUCGCGUCCUAUCAGCUUGUUGGUGAGGUAACGGCUCACCAAGGCUUCGACGGGUAGCCGGCCUGAGAGGGCGACCGGCCACAUUGGGACUGAGAUACGGCCCAGACUCCUACGGGAGGCAGCAGUGGGGAAUAUUGCACAAUGGGCGCAAGCCUGAUGCAGCGACGCCGCGUGAGGGAUGGAGGCCUUCGGGUUGUAAACCUCUUUUGUUUGGGAGCAAGCCUUCGGGUGAGUGUACCUUCGAA
rnacentral:rRNA from 1 species